AUUGAACGCUGGCGGAAUGCUUUACACAUGCAAGUCGAACGGCAGCACGGGGCAACCUGGUGGCGAGUGGCGAACGGGUGAGUAAUAUAUCGGAACGUGCCCAAUCGUGGGGGAUAACGUAGCGAAAGUUACGCUAAUACCGCAUACGAUCUACGGAUGAAAGCGGGGGAUCGCAAGACCUCGCGCGAAUGGAGCGGCCGAUAUCAGAUUAGGUAGUUGGUGGGGUAAAGGCUCACCAAGCCAACGAUCUGUAGCUGGUCUGAGAGGACGACCAGCCACACUGGAACUGAGACACGGUCCAGACUCCUACGGGAGGCAGCAGUGGGGAAUUUUGGACAAUGGACGCAAGCCUGAUCCAGCCAUUCCGCGUGCAGGAUGAAGGCCUUCGGGUUGGUAAACUAGCUUUUGUUACGGAACGAAACGGACCUGCCCUAAUACGGUAGGCGUAAUGACGGUACCGUAAGAAUAAG
rnacentral:rRNA from 1 species